UUCUUAUCAAGAGAGGUGGAGGGACUGGCCCUGUGAAACCCAGCAACCUAUGGUAUAAGUAUUUUUUAUGUCAUAACGGUGCUAAAUCCUGCAGGUUUACUGAUAGAUAAGUA
rnacentral:ncRNA from 2 species